rnacentral:rRNA from 1 species
AUUGAACGCUGGCGGCAGGCUUAACACAUGCAAGUCGAGCGGGGAAGGUUGCUUCGGCAACUGACCUAGCGGCGGACGGGUGAGUAAUGCUUAGGAAUCUGCCUAUUAGUGGGGGACAACAUUCCGAAAGGAAUGCUAAUACCGCAUACGCCCUACGGGGAAAGCAGGGGAUCUUCGGACCUUGCGCGAAUAGAUGAGCCUAAGUCGGAUUAGCUAGUUGGUGGGGUAAAGGCCUACCAAGGCGACGAUCUGUAGCGGGUCUGAGAGGAUGAUCCGCCACACUGGGACUGAGACACGGCCCAGACUGCUACGGGAGGCAGCAGUGGGGAAUAUUGGACAAUGGGGGGAACCCUGAUCCAGCCAUGCCGCGUGUGUGAAGAAGGCCUUUUGGUUGUAAAGUACUUUAAGCGAGGAGGAGGCUACCGAGACUAAUACUCUUGGAUAGUGGACGUUACUCGCAGAAUAAGCACCGGCUAACUCUGUGCCAGCAGCCGCAGUAACAC